AUUGAACGCUGGCGGCAGGCCUAACACAUGCAAGUCGAACGAGUGGCGGACGGGUGAGUAGUGUCUGGGAAACUGCCAGAUGGGGGGGGAUAACUACUGGAAACGGUAGCUAAUACCGCAUACCCUCUGAUGUGCCCAUAUGGGAUUAGAUGGUGGGUGGGGUAACGGCUCACCAAGGCGACGAUCCCGAGCUGGUCUGAGAGGAUGAACAGCCACACUGGAACUGAGACACGGCCCAGACUCCUACGGGAGGCAGCAGUGGGGAAUAUUGCACAAUGGGCGCAAGCCUGAUGCAGCCAUGCCGCGUGUAUGAAGAAGGCCUUCGGGUUGUAAAGUACUUUCAGCGGGGAGGCGUUACCCGCAGAAGAAGCACCGGCUAACUCCGUGCCAGCCGCCGCGGUAAUAC
rnacentral:rRNA from 1 species